CCUACGGGAGACUGCAGUGGGGAAUAUUGCGCAAUGGGCGAAAGCCUGACGCAGCGACGCCGCGUGAGGGAUGAAGGUCUUCGGAUCGUAAACCUCUGUCAGCAGGGAAGAACGGUCACUGUGCUAAUCAGCAGUGAAUUGACGGUACCUGCAAAGGAAGCACCGGCUAACUCCGUGCCAGCAGCCGCGGUAAUACGGAGGGUGCGAGCGUUAAUCGGAAUUACUGGGCGUAAAGCGCUCGUAGGCGGUAUGUCAAGUCAAGGGUGAAAUCCCCGCGCUCAACGUGGGAACUGCCUUUGAAACUGGCAAGCUAGAGUGUGUGAGAGGAUAGUGGAAUUCCAGGUGUAGGAGUGAAAUCCGUAGAUAUCUGGAGGAACAUCAGUGGCGAAGGCGACUAUCUGGCACAUAACUGACGCUGAGGAGCGAAAGCGUGGGGAGCAAACAGGAUUAGAUACCCCAGUAGUC
rnacentral:rRNA from 1 species